rnacentral:lncRNA from 1 species
CACUGCUGUGGAGGGAUUUUGCCGAUGUAAUUAAGGGAAAGGAUCUUCAAAUAGGGAGACUAGCCUGGAUUAUACAGGUGGGUCCAAUCUAAUCACUUGAGCAUUGAGAAGCCGAGAAUUAUCUUCAGCUGGAUUCAAAGAGAUGUGGUGGAGGAGGACAGCAGGAUGAGGAGGCCAAAGGGGUAGUUAAAGAGAUGUGAAUCAAGAGAAGGGCUGGACCUCCCCCGAUAGCUUUGAAUGUGAAGGGAGGGGGCCUUCAGAAGCUGAGAAAGACUCCAGCUGACAACCCAAAAGGAAUUGGGGCUUCAGUUCUGCAACCACAUGGAACUGAAUUCAACCAACAACUUGAACGACUUUGGAAGCAGUCGUUUUUCCUAGAGUCUACUGCUAAGAACCCAGUGGCAACACCUUGAUUUCAGGCUUGUGAGACCUGGAGCAAUGAAGCCCACUGGACUGGUGAUCUACAGAAAAAGAAGAGAAGAACCCAUUUAAAGAGAAGAACCCAUUUAAAGAGAAGAAGGAAAAGUGUGUAUCAGGCAGAGACAACAGUCUGUGCAAAGGUUGGAAGUAGGAAAAAUCUCAAUGUGCCCUGAGAGCUGAAAGGAGCUCGCUGUGGUUGGGAACGCUGGUAUGGAGAGGCACCAGGAAUAGUCCAGGGUCUGUGUUCUGGCUUCAUUCCCACUUUUACAUGGGCUGAAUCUUCUAAGGAGCGUCGCAAUAGUUCUGAAAUGGUGAAGUCAUCUCCAGUGCUGACAGGACCAUGUAAAUUCUACACCCCCUUCCCAGUGACUGAUCAUGGCUGGGCUCAACCCCACUUCUGGGUUUGGAAUGAAUGCUGUCAGGAAAUGAGGCCUCAAGGGAACCACGAAAGUGAAGCUGUGAAAACCCUGAAUGCUGAAGAGUGUGGAGAAUCCCAGACGAUGAAGAACCAGAGAAUCUCGAAGCUCUGUCUACCUACACCUCUGACUCAUGUAUGUGCAGAACAGACUCAGAUUAAAAACACAACGUUGAGGUGAGCCUGGAACUGUUGCCCAAGGAACAGGGUUUGAAGUUCAGGUCUAGCUAGACUAAUUAGCUGUUGAAGGAAACAACACUCACUGGAGAAAACUGGCAGAAUUCUGAAUCUUCACCAAUUAACAUUAGUAACGUUGAAGAUAUGAUCGAAAA